GUCGGGAAUUUUGGGCAAUGGGCGAAAGCCUGACCCAGCAACGCCGCGUGAAGGAUGAAGUAUUUCGGUAUGUAAACUUCGUAAGAAUAGGAAGAAUAAAUGACGGUACUAUUUGUAAGGUCCGGCUAACUACGUGCCAGCAGCCGCGGUAAUACGUAGGGACCAAGCGUUGUUCGGAUUUACUGGGCGUAAAGGGCGCGUAGGCGGCGUGGUAAGUCAGCUGUGAAAUCUCCGAGCUUAACUCGGAACGGUCAGCUGAUACUGCUGUGCUAGAGUACAGAAAGGGCAAUCGGAAUUCUUGGUGUAGCGGUGAAAUGCGUAGAUAUCAAGAGGAACACCUGAGGCGAAGGCGGGUUGCUAGGCUGAUACUGACGCUGAGGCGCGAAAGCUAGGGUAGCAAACGGGAUUAGAUACCCGAGUAGUCC
rnacentral:rRNA from 1 species